CCUACGGGUGGCAGCGGUGGGGAAUAUUGGACAAUGGGGGGAACCCUGAUCCAGCCAUGCCGCGUGUGUGAAGAAGGCCCUCGGGUUGUAAAGCACUUUCAGUGAGGAAGAACGCCUGGUGGUUAAUACCCAUCAGGAAAGACAUCACUCACAGAAGAAGCACCGGCUAACUCCGUGCCAGCAGCCGCGGUAAUACGGAGGGUGCGAGCGUUAAUCGGAAUUACUGGGCGUAAAGCGCGCGUAGGUGGCUUGAUAAGCCGGUUGUGAAAGCCCCGGGCUCAACCUGGGAACGGCAUCCGGAACUGUCAAGCUAGAGUGCAGGAGAGGAAGGUAGAAUUCCCGGUGUAGCGGUGAAAUGCGUAGAGAUCGGGAGGAAUACCAGUGGCGAAGGCGGCCUUCUGGACUGACACUGACACUGAGGUGCGAAAGCGUGGGUAGCAAACAGGAUUAGAUACCCGGGUAGUC
rnacentral:rRNA from 1 species